rnacentral:rRNA from 1 species
AGAGUUUGAUCAUGGCUCAGAUUGAACGCUGGCGGCAGGCCUAACACAUGCAAGUCGAACGGUAGCACAGAGAGCUUGCUCUCGGGUGACGAGUGGCGGACGGGUGAGUAAUGUCUGGGAAACUGCCCGAUGGAGGGGGAUAACUACUGGAAACGGUAGCUAAUACCGCAUAAUGUCGCAAGACCAAAGAGGGGGACCUUCGGGCCUCUUGCCAUCGGAUGUGCCCAGAUGGGAUUAGCUUGUAGGUGGGGUAACGGCUCACCUAGGCGACGAUCCCUAGCUGGUCUGAGAGGAUGACCAGCCACACUGGAACUGAGACACGGUCCAGACUCCUACGGGAGGCAGCAGUGGGGAAUAUUGCACAAUGGGCGCAAGCCUGAUGCAGCCAUGCUGCGUGUAUGAAGAAGGCCUUCGGGUUGUAAAGUACUUUCAGCGAGGAGGAAGGCGUUGUGGUUAAUAACCACAGCGAUUGACGUUACUCGCAGAAGAAGCACCGGCUAACUCCGUGCCAGCAGCCGCGGUAAUACGGAGGGUGCAAGCGUUAAUCGGAAUUACUGGGCGUAAAGCGCACGCAGGCGGUCUGUCAAGUCGGAUGUGAAAUCCCCGGGCUCAACCUGGGAACUGCAUCCGAAACUGGCAGGCUAGAGUCUUGUAGAGGGGGGUAGAAUUCCAGGUGUAGCGGUGAAAUGCGUAGAGAUCUGGAGGAAUACCGGU